AGAGUUUGAUCCUGGCUCAGGAUGAACGCUGGCGGCGUGCCUAAUACAUGCAAGUCGAACGAAACUUCUUUAUCACCGAGUGCUUGCACUCACCGAUAAAGAGUUGAGUGGCGAACGGGUGAGUAACACGUGGGCAACCUGCCCAAAAGAGGGGGAUAACACUUGGAAACAGGUGCUAAUACCGCAUAACCAUAGUUACCGCAUGGUAACUAUGUAAAAGGUGGCUAUGCUACCGCUUUUGGAUGGGCCCGCGACGCAUUAGCUAGUUGGUGGGGUAAAGGCUUACCAAGGCAAUGAUGCGUAGCCGAACUGAGAGGUUGAUCGGCCACAUUGGGACUGAGACACGGCCCAGACUCCUGCGGGAGGCAGCAGUAGGGAAUUUUCGUCAAUGGGCGCAAGCCUGAACGAGCGAUGCCGCGUGAGUGAAGAAGGCCUUCGGGUCGUAAAGCUCUGUUGCGGGGGAAAAAAGGCAGCAUCAGGAAAUGGGUGCUGACUGAUGGUGCCCCGCCAGAAAGUCACGGCUAACUACGUGCCAGCAGCCGCGGUAAUACGUAGGUGGCGAGCGUUAUCCGGAAUGAUUGGGCGUAAAGGGUGCGCAGGCGGUCCUGCAAGUCUGGAGUGAAACGCAUGAGCUCAACUCAUGCAUGGCUUUGGAAACUGGAGGACUGGAGAGCAGGAGAGGGCGGUGGAACUCCAUGUGUAGCGGUAAAAUGCGUAGAUAUAUGGAAGAACACCAGUGGCGAAGGCGGCCGCCUGGCCUGUUGCUGACGCUGAGGCACGAAAGCGUGGGGAGCAAAUAGGAUUAGAUACCCUAGUAGUCCACGCCGUAAACGAUGAGGACCAAGUGUUGGGGGUGAAACCUCAGUGCUGAAGUUAACGCAGUGAGUCCUCCGCCUGGGGAGUAUGCACGCAAGUGUGAAACUCAAAGGAAUUGACGGGGGCCCGCACAAGCGGUGGAGUAUGUGGUUUAAUUCGAAGCAACGCGAAGAACCUUACCAGGCCUUGACAUGGGAUGCGAAGAUGCAGAGAUGCAUCGGAGGUCAACAUCCACACAGGUGGUGCAUGGUUGUCGUCAGCUCGUGUCGUGAGAUGUUGGGUCAAGUCCCGCAACGAGCGCAACCCUUGUGGCAUGUUGCUAACAGGAAAAGCUGAGGACUCAUGCCAGACUGCCGGUGACAAACCGGAGGAAGGCGGGGAUGACGUCAAAUCAUCAUGCCCCUUAUGGCCUGGGCUACACACGUACUACAAUGGCGGCUACAAAGAGCAGCGAGACAGGGAUGUCGAGCGAAUCUCAUAAAAGCCGUCCCAGUUCGGAUUGGAGGCUGCAACCCGCCUCCAUGAAGUUGGAAUCGCUAGUAAUCGCGGAUCAGCAUGCCGCGGUGAAUACGUUCCCGGGCCUUGUACACACCGCCCGUCAA
rnacentral:rRNA from 1 species